GACGAACGCUGGCGGCGUGCCUAACACAUGCAAGUCGAGCGGAGGAUAGCGGAUAGGUAACUUGAAGUUGUUCUUAGCGGCGGACGGGUGAGUAACACGUGGGCAACCUGCCUCGAAGAGGGGGAUAACACCGAGAAAUCGGUGCUAAUACCGCAUAACAUACAGACAUCGCCUGAUGACUGUAUCAAAGGAGAAAUCCGCUUUGAGAUGGGCCCGCGGCUGAUUAGCUAGUUGGUGAGGUAAUGGCUCACCAAGGCGACGAUCAGUAGCCGACCUGAGAGGGUGACCGGCCACACUGGAACUGAGACACGGUCCAGACUCCUACGGGUGGCUG
rnacentral:rRNA from 1 species